UAGCCCGGACCCUGGCCGGACAGCGGCUGAGGGUAGGACGUCCCCACGGCUUCCGGCUCUGAGGGAGGAGGCAACCCCCUCGUGCUCUGUCUUCUAACGUCCCGGAGCCCGAGGGUUUUGAAACUGCGGAGAAUGACAGCAAAUUACCAGCUAAAAGCCCUGGGUUGUUGGAGGUGGGAAAGACAAGCCCUGGGAGCAGCUCAAGCCCACGGACACUCCUCAAGCGUGGAACACAUACUCUUUCCCCACCCCUGCCCGCGCUCCAAGGGGAUCUCAUGCCAGUUAGAAAAAGACACCCCUUCCUCCAGGAAGAAGCAGCUUCAUGCCAGGGGCAGGGGUUCAGCCCCCACCGAUCCCUUAGCCAAGAGCACUUGAGCAGUGAACAACAUACACAACUAUACCGUGGUCUCAUGGCCGUGUACCUGUAAACCACCCCCCACCCCCCACCCACAACCGGAUGCCUGGUCUCAGCAAGUGGCUGUGUCUUUCCUCCAUGGUGGUUUGUGCUGAGUCAAGUGGCCUGGCAGGAAACUUGCUUCCUGGAAUCUCCUCUCCUCUAGGAGUCUGAGUUGGAAUUCGCCGGUGGAGAAAUCUGUGCUUGGAGGGCCACCAUGGCUAGCGAUGGGAGGGACGGACACAGAAGUGCCAGCGGGGGCCAGCUUGUCCCCAUUCCUUCUUCUACAUGUCCUCCUCCUGAUCCGCGGCCAGUGCUCCCUCCAGACUGCUGGCCCUGCUGACUCACAGUGACCCAGUAUUUCCACCGGAUGCUCGGCUGUGAUCUCACCGAGUGGAGGCUGCAAAGACAAGGCGGCCUUCCCUAGACUUCUGUCGGUGUCUACACUGGCCCCGGCCUCCUGCGCCAGCUGCUGGACCCGCCUGACUUCCAGCUUGUCCACGAGCUCCGCUGGUGCCUCUGCUACAGAGGGCUGGCUGGUGACGGUCCCCGGGUCCCCGUAAAACUUCCCGCUUUGGACCUUUACUUCCCAGACCCUCCCCCGGGGCAGUAAGGCUAAUUGCUGUGCUAUAAAACUCACAGUGGCUCUGCUUCUGAUGGAGCCCGAA